rnacentral:rRNA from 1 species
UACGAAGGGUGCAAGCGUUAAUCGGAAUUACUGGGCGUAAAGGGUGCGUAGACGGCCUGAUAAGUCGACUGUGAAAGUCCUGGGCUCAACCUGGGGACGGCAGUUGAUACUGUUGGGCUUUGAGUUUGGGAGAGGGUGGUGGAAUUCCCGGUGUAGCGGUGAAAUGCGUAGAGAUCGGGAGGAACAUCCGUGGCGAAGGCGGCCACCUGGCCUAAAACUGACGUUGAGGCACGAAAGCGUGGGGAGCAAACAGGAUUAGAUACCCUGGUAGUCCACGCCCUAAACGAUGAUCACUGGACGUUGGGAGGAAUUGACCUCUUAGUGUCGAAGCUAACGCGUGAAGUGAUCCGCCUGGGGAGUACGCUCGCAAGAGUGAA